rnacentral:rRNA from 1 species
CCUACGGGGGGCAGCAGUGGGGAAUAUUGCACAAUGGGGGAAACCCUGAUGCAGCGACGCCGCGUGAGUGAAGAAGCGUUUCGGCGCGUAAAGCUCUGUCAGCGGGGAAGAAACACGGUUCGCGAGAGCCGCGGACGGUACCCGACCAAGAAGCCCCGGCUAACUACGUGCCAGCAGCCGCGGUAAUACGUAGGGGGCAAGCGUUAUCCGGAUUCACUGGGUGUAAAGGGAGCGUAGACGGCGAGACAAGUCUGGAGUGAAAGGCCGGGGCCCAACCCCGGGACUGCUCUGGAAACUGCCUGGCUGGAGUACAGGAGAGGUAAGUGGAAUUCCUAGUGUAGCGGUGAAAUGCGUAGAUAUUAGGAGGAACACCAGUGGCGAGAUCAUUCCCCAUCCGGUAGUC